UCCGUCACAUAAGCCGAAGACGUGAUGUGGAGCGAAAUUAAGUAGUGAAGUAUGUGAGCCAUGUGCCGAGAAAAGCCGCUAUUGUUUUAUAUGUGCCCGUACCGUAAACCGACACAGGUGGAUGAGGAGAGAAUCCUAAGGCCGACGGAAGAAGCAUUGUUAAGGAAUUCGGCAAAAUGACCCCGUAACUUCGGGAGAAGGGGUGCCCACUGAAUGGUGGGCCGCAGAGAAUAGGCUCAAGCAACUGUUUAGCAAAAACACAGGUCUAUGCGAAACCGAAAGGUGAAGUAUAUGGGCUGACGCCUGCCCGGUGCUGGAAGGUUAAGAGGAGAGGUUAGCGCAAGCGAAGCUUUGAAUUUAAGCCCCAGUAAACGGCGGCCGUAACGAUAACGGUCCUAAGGUAGCGAAAUUCCUUGUCGGGUAAGUUCCGACCCGCACGAAAGGCGUAAUGAUUUGAGCACUGUCUCGACAAUGCAUCCGGUGAAAUUGAAGUACCAGUGAAGAUGCUGGUUACCCGCGCCAGGACGGAAAGACCCCAUGGAGCUUUACUCCAGUUUGAUACUGGGAUUCGGUACUGCACGUACAGGAUAGGUGGGAGACUGAGAACUAUGGACGCCAGUCUGUAGGGAGUCGCUGUUGGGAUACCACCCCUGUAGUACUGGGUUUCUAACCAUCUGCCGUGAUCCGGCAGUGGGACAAUGUCAGGCGGGGAGUUUGACUGGGGCGGUCGCCUCCGAAAGGGUAUCGGAGGCGCUCAAAGGUUCCCUCAGAAUGGUCGGAAACCAUUUGAAGAGUGCAAAGGCAGAAGGGAGCUUGACUGCGACACCGACGGGUGGAGCAGGUACGAAAGUAGGACUUAGUGAUCCGGUGGUAUAAAGUGGGAUUGCCAUCGCUCAACGGAUAAAAGCUACCCUGGGAUAACAGGCUUAUCACUCCCAAGAGUUCACAUCGACGGAGUGGUUUGGCACCUCGAUGUCGGCUCAUCGCAUCCUGGGGCUGUAGCAGGUCCCAAGGGUUGGGCUGUUCGCCCAUUAAAGCGGUACGCGAGCUGGGUUCAGAACGUCGUGAGACAGUUCGGUCCCUAUCCGGCGCGGGCGGAGGAUAUUUGAGAGGAGCUGUCCUUAGUACGAGAGGACCGGGAUGGACGGACCACUGGUGUAUCUGUUGUCGACCAACGGCAUGGCAGAGUAGCCAAGUCUGGAAGGGAUAAACGCUGAAGGCAUCUAAGCGUGAAGCCCCCCUCAAGAUGAGAUAUCCCUCCUUCGGGAGUAAGACCCCUUGAAGACUACAAGGUAGAUAGGGCAGAGGUGGAAGUGUGGCAACACAUGGAGCUGACUGUUACUAAUAGGUCGAGGGCUUGAUC
rnacentral:rRNA from 1 species